UACGUAGGGUGCGAGCGUUGUCCGGAAUUAUUGGGCGUAAAGAGCUUGUAGGCGGUCUGUCGCGUCUGCUGUGAAAAUCCGGGGCUCAACCCCGGACUUGCAGUGGGUACGGGCAGACUAGAGUGUGGUAGGGGAGACUGGAAUUCCUGGUGUAGCGGUGAAAUGCGCAGAUAUCAGGAGGAACACCGAUGGCGAAAGGCAGGUCUCUGGGC
rnacentral:rRNA from 1 species